CCUACGGGUGGCAGCAGUGGGGAAUAUUGCACAAUGGGGGAAACCCUGACGCAGCGACGCCGCGUGAGGGAUGAAGGUCUUCGGAUCGUAAACCUCUGUCAGCAGGGAAGAACGGUCACUGUGCUAAUCAGUAGUGAGUUGACGGUACCUGCAAAGGAAGCACCGGCUAACUCCGUGCCAGCAGCCGCGGUAAUACGGUGGGUGCGUGCGUUGAUCGGAAUUACUGGGCGUGAAGCGCUCGUAGGCGGUAUGUCAAGUCACUGGUGAAAUCCCCGCGCUCAACGUGGGAACUGCCUUUGAAACUGGCAAACUCGAGUGUGUGAGAGGAUAGUGGAAUUCCAGGUGUAGGAGUGAAAUCCGUAGAUAUCGGGAGGAACAUCAGUGGCGAAGGCGACUAUCUGGCACAUAACUGACGCUGAGGCGCGAAAGCGUGGGUAGCAAACAGGAUUAGAUACCCGGGUAGUC
rnacentral:rRNA from 1 species